AGUUUCUUGCACAACACAGUUUGACCUCCAAAACUAUGUCUCAGAUUUUUCACUCUCGUAAAUUUUCAAUUAAGUUUGCAACAUCAAAUCAUAAGAGAUAACUAAGUUCAAUUGGGUAUAAAAUUUGUUCUAUUGAUGUUUUUGGGAAUCUGAGACAGUUUUGGAGGUCAAGCUGUGUUGUACAAGAAUCU
rnacentral:sRNA from 1 species